GUCUACGGCCAUGCUACCCUGAACAAGCCCAAUCUGUCUGAUCUCGGAAGCUAAGCAGGGUCGGGCCUGGUUAGUACUUGGAUGGGAGACCACCUAGGAAGACCAGGUACUGUAGGCA
rfam:Pteropus alecto contig101569, whole genome shotgun sequence.